rnacentral:rRNA from 1 species
AUUGAACGCNGGCGGCAUGCCUUACACAUGCAAGUCGAACGGCAGCGCGGGGCAACCUGGCGGCGAGUGGCGGACGGGUGAGUAAUAUAUCGGAACGUACCCUGGAGUGGGGGGUAACGUAGCGAAAGUUACGCUAAUACCGCAUACGAUCUAAGGAUGAAAGUGGGGGAUCGCAAGACCCCAUGCUCCUGGAGCGGCCGAUAUCUGAUUAGCUAGUUGGCGGGGUAAAAGCCCACCAAGGCAACGAUCAGUAGCUGGUCUGAGAGGACGACCAGCCACACUGGAACUGAGACACGGUCCAGACUCCUACGGGAGGCAGCAGUGGGGAAUUUUGGACAAUGGGCGCAAGCCUGAUCCAGCAAUGCCGCGUGAGUGAAGAAGGCCUUCGGGUUGUAAAGCUCUUUUGUCAGGGAAGAAACGGUGGGGGCUAAUAUCUCCCGCUAAUGACGGUACCUGAAGAAUAAGCACCGGCUAACUACGUGCCAGCAGCCGCGGUAAUACGUAGGGUGCAAGCGUUAAUCGGAAUUACUGGGCGUAAAGCGUGCGCAGGCGGUUUUGUAAGUCUGUCGUGAAAUCCCCGGGCUCAACCUGGGAAUUGCGAUGGAGACUGCAAGGCUAGAGUUUGGCAGAGGGGGGUAGAAUUCCACGUGUAGCAGUGAAAUGCGUAGAUAUGUGGAGGAACACCGAUGGCGAAGGCAGCCCCCUGGGUCAAAACUGACGCUCAUGCACGAAAGCGUGGGGAGCAAACAGGAUUAGAUACCCUGGUAGUCCACGCCCUAAACGAUGUCUACUAGUUGUCGGGUCUUAAUUGACUUGGUAACGCAGCUAACGCGUGAAGUAGACCGCCU